rnacentral:rRNA from 1 species
GGCGGCGUGCCUAAUACAUGCAAGUCGAACGAGUUCUCGUUGAUGAUCGGUGCUUGCACCGAGAUUCAACAUGGAACGAGUGGCGGACGGGUGAGUAACACGUGGGUAACCUGCCCUUAAGUGGGGGAUAACAUUUGGAAACAGAUGCUAAUACCGCAUAGAUCCAAGAACCGCAUGGUUCUUGGCUGAAAGAUGGCGUAAGCUAUCGCUUUUGGAUGGACCCGCGGCGUAUUAGCUAGUUGGUGAGGUAAUGGCUCACCAAGGCGAUGAUACGUAGCCGAACUGAGAGGUUGAUCGGCCACAUUGGGACUGAGACACGGCCCAAACUCCUACGGGAGGCAGCAGUAGGGAAUCUUCCACAAUGGACGCAAGUCUGAUGGAGCAACGCCGCGUGAGUGAAGAAGGCUUUCGGGUCGUAAAACUCUGUUGUUGGAGAAGAAUGGUCGGCAGAGUAACUGUUGUCGGCGUGACGGUAUCCAACCAGAAAGCCACGGCUAACUACGUGCCAGCAGCCGCGGUAAUACGUAGGUGGCAAGCGUUAUCCGGAUUUAUUGGGCGUAAAGCGAGCGCAGGCGGUUUUUUAAGUCUGAUGUGAAAGCCCUCGGCUUAACCGAGGAAGCGCAUCGGAAACUGGGAAACUUGAGUGCAGAAGAGGACAGUGGAACUCCAUGUGUAGCGGUGAAAUGCGUAGAUAUAUGGAAGAACACCAGUGGCGAAGGCGGCUGUCUGGUCUGUAACUGACGCUGAGGCUCGAAAGCAUGGGUAGCGAACAGGAUUAGAUACCCUGGUAGUCCAUGCCGUAAACGAUGAAUGCUAGGUGUUGGAGGGUUUCCGCCCUUCAGUGCCGCAGCUAACGCAUUAAGCAUUCCGCCUGGGGAGUACGACCGCAAGGUUGAAACUCAAAGGAAUUGACGGGGGCCCGCACAAGCGGUGGAGCAUGUGGUUUAAUUCGAAGCAACGCGAAGAACCUUACCAGGUCUUGACAUCUUUUGAUCACCUGAGAGAUCAGGUUUCCCCUUCGGGGGCAAAAUGACAGGUGGUGCAUGGUUGUCGUCAGCUCGUGUCGUGAGAUGUUGGGUUAAGUCCCGCAACGAGCGCAACCCUUAUGACUAGUUGCCAGCAUUUAGUUGGGCACUCUAGUAAGACUGCCGGUGACAAACCGGAGGAAGGUGGGGAUGACGUCAAAUCAUCAUGCCCCUUAUGACCUGGGCUACACACGUGCUACAAUGGAUGGUACAACGAGUUGCGAGACCGCGAGGUCAAGCUAAUCUCUUAAAGCCAUUCUCAGUUCGGACUGUAGGCUGCAACUCGCCUACACGAAGUCGGAAUCGCUAGUAAUCGCGGAUCAGCACGCCGCGGUGAAUACGUUCCCGGGCCUUGUACACACCGCCCGUCACACCAUGAGAGUUUGUAACACCCGAAGCCGGUGGCGUAACCCUUUUAGGGAGCGAGCCGUCUAAGGUGGGACAAAUGAUU